rnacentral:rRNA from 1 species
CGAACGGGUGAGUAACGCGUGAGGAACCUGCCUCAAAGAGGGGGACAACAGUUGGAAACGACUGCUAAUACCGCAUAAGCCCACGACCCGGCAUCGGGUAGAGGGAAAAGGAGCAAUCCGCUUUGAGAUGGCCUCGCGUCCGAUUAGCUAGUUGGUGAGGUAACGGCCCACCAAGGCGACGAUCGGUAGCCGGACUGAGAGGUUGAACGGCCACAUUGGGACUGAGACACGGCCCAG